GUUGAAACACCAGUUCCCGUACGAUCAUCGAAGUUAAGCAAAGUCGAGCCAGAUCAGUACCUAGAUGGGUGACCGCUUGGGAAUACCAGGUACAGUA